UGAGAGCUCUUCCUCUCUCUAGAGUCCUCACCUCCCUCAUUUCUCUCCCAUUUCUUCCAAGCAAACCCUAAAACCGCAGCUCCUCUCUCCACAUUUUCUCAAACCCUAACCUCCGUCUCUGCAAACCAAACCUUAAUCUUCCAUCAUCAACCCCAUAAGACCUCGCAGCCAUGGAUUUGCUGCAACACCAGAAGGGUAGCAGCACCGAUCUUGGUGCCGAUGCACUCAGAGGUAAACUUCUCGCCCUCCCUUGUCGAUUUAUGCACUCAGGUUCACCGAUUGAAAUAUACCAUACAAGAAAAAUCUUAAAAUCCUAAUGCUAAUGUUGUUUCUUUUGCAUGGACCUGAGAUCCGUAAAAAAAAAAAAAAGCGACGAUGGAACACUGGAAAUCGCAGAUCCAUCAUUUUUGAAAGCCCAUGGUAUAUUCGGAUCCAGCAGGCAUCAAGGGCAAACGGGCCUGAGUUGUGAGGCUCAGCUCCACUGCAUGGAAGUAAGAGAAAAAUGGAAAUGAACUCUUGGACCAAACUGGAUUAAGCAAUGUGGACCCUUCUGCACUCGGACCCGAACUUUAGAAAAUGUAUUAGGAAUUUCGAAAUGGUAUGUAAUUAAUUCAUGGGGUGGGAGUGAGUGGAUCUGAGUGCAGAAGCUUCAUCAGAAUCGCCAU